rnacentral:rRNA from 1 species
UACGAAGGGGGCUAGCGUUGCUCGGAAUUACUGGGCGUAAAGGGCGCGUAGGCGGCACUGUUAGUCAGGUGUGAAAGUCCUGGGCUCAACCUGGGAACUGCGCUUGAUACGGCAGAGCUAGAGGAUGGAAGAGGGUCGCGGAAUACCCAGUGUAGAGGUGAAAUUCGUAGAUAUUGGGAAGAACACCGGUGGCGAAGGCGGCGACCUGGUCCAUUACUGACGCUGAGGCGCGACAGCGUGGGGAGCGAACAGG